rnacentral:rRNA from 1 species
UACGGAGGGUGCAAGCGUUAUCCGGAUUCACUGGGUUUAAAGGGUGCGUAGGCGGACUUGUAAGUCCGUGGUGAAAUCUCCGAGCUUAACUCGGAAACUGCCAUGGAUACUAUAAGUCUUGAAUGUUGUGGAGGUUAGCGGAAUAUGUCAUGUAGCGGUGAAAUGCUUAGAUAUGACAUAGAACACCGAUUGCGAAGGCAGCUGGCUACACAACUAUUGACGCUGAGGCACGAAAGCGUGGGGAUCAAACAGG